GACGAACGCUGGCGGCGUGCUUAACACAUGCAAGUCGAACGGUGAAGCGCCUUCCUUUUUGGUGGGUGUGGAUGAGUGGCGAACGGGUGAGUAACACGUGAGUAACCUGCCCCCUUCUUCUGGAUAACCGCAUGAAAGUGUGGCUAAUACGGGAUAUUCUGGGUCUGUCGCAUGAUGGGUCUGGGAAAGAUAUUGUUUCGGUGGGGGAUGGGCUCGCGGCCUAUCAGCUUGUUGGUGGGGUGAUGGCCUACCAAGGCGGUGACGGGUAGCCGGCCUGAGAGGGUGGACGGUCACACUGGGACUGAGACACGGCCCAGACUCCUGCGGGAGGCAGCAGUGGGGAAUAUUGCACAAUGGGCGCAAGCCUGAUGCAGCGACGCCGCGUGAGGGAUGGAGGCCUGCGGGUUGUGAACCUCUUUCGCCAGUGAAGCAGGCCUGCCUCGUUUGUGGGUGGGUUGACGGUAGCUGGAUAAGAAGCGCCGGCUAACUACGUG
rnacentral:rRNA from 1 species